rnacentral:rRNA from 1 species
UUAAGCGACUAAGCGUACACGGUGGAUGCCCUGGCAGUCAGAGGCGAUGAAGGACGUGCUAAUCUGCGAUAAGCGUCGGUAAGGUGAUAUGAACCGUUAUAACCGGCGAUUUCCGAAUGGGGAAACCCAGUGUGWUUCGWCACACUAUCAUUAACUGAAUCCAUAGGUUAAUGAGGCGAACCGGGGGAACUGAAACAUCUAAGUACCCCGAGGAAAAGAAAUCAACCGAGAUUCCCCCAGUAGCGGCGAGCGAACGGGGAGSAGCCCAGAGCCUGAAUCAGUGUGUGUGUUAGUGGAAGCGUCUGGAAAGGCGCGCGAUACAGGGUGACAGCCCCGUACACAAAAAUGCACAUGCUGUGAGCUCGAUGAGUAGGGCGGGACACGUGGUAUCCUGUCUGAAUAUGGGGGGACCAUCCUCCAAGGCUAAAUACUCCUGACUGACCGAUAGUGAACCAGUACCGUGAGGGAAAGGCGAAAAGAACCCCGGCGAGGGGAGUGAAAAAGAACCUGAAACCGUGUACGUACAAGCAGUGGGAGCACGCUUAGGCGUGUGACUGCGUACCUUUUGUAUAAUGGGUCAGCGACUUAUAUUCUGUAGCAAGGUUAACCGAAUAGGGGAGCCGAAGGGAAACCGAGUCUUAACUGGGCGUUAAGUUGCAGGGUAUAGACCCGAAACCCGGUGAUCUAGCCAUGGGCAGGUUGAAGGUUGGGUAACACUAACUGGAGGACCGAACCGACUAAUGUUGAAAAAUUAGCGGAUGACUUGUGGCUGGGGGUGAAAGGCCAAUCAAACCGGGAGAUAGCUGGUUCUCCCCGAAAGCUAUUUAGGUAGCGCCUCGUGAACUCAUCUCCGGGGGUAGAGCACUGUUUCGGCAAGGGGGUCAUCCCGACUUACCAACCCGAUGCAAACUGCGAAUACCGGAGAAUGUUAUCACGGGAGACACACGGCGGGUGCUAACGUCCGUCGUGAAGAGGGAAACAACCCAGACCGCCAGCUAAGGUCCCAAAGUCAUGGUUAAGUGGGAAACGAUGUGGGAAGGCCCAGACAGCCAGGAUGUUGGCUUAGAAGCAGCCAUCAUUUAAAGAAAGCGUAAUAGCUCACUGGUCGAGUCGGCCUGCGCGGAAGAUGUAACGGGGCUAAACCAUGCACCGAAGCUGCGGCAGCGACGCUUAUGCGUUGUUGGGUAGGGGAGCGUUCUGUAAGCCUGCGAAGGUGUGCUGUGAGGCAUACUGGAGGUAUCAGAAGUGCGAAUGCUGACAUAAGUAACGAUAAAGCGGGUGAAAAGCCCGCUCGCCGGAAGACCAAGGGUUCCUGUCCAACGUUAAUCGGGGCAGGGUGAGUCGACCCCUAAGGCGAGGCCGAAAGGCGUAGUCGAUGGGAAACAGGUUAAUAUUCCUGUACUUGGUGUUACUGCGAAGGGGGGACGGAGAAGGCUAUGUUGGCCGGGCGACGGUUGUCCCGGUUUAAGCGUGUAGGCUGGUUUUCCAGGCAAAUCCGGAAAAUCAAGGCUGAGGCGUGAUGACGAGGCACUACGGUGCUGAAGCAACAAAUGCCCUGCUUCCAGGAAAAGCCUCUAAGCAUCAGGUAACAUCAAAUCGUACCCCAAACCGACACAGGUGGUCAGGUAGAGAAUACCAAGGCGCUUGAGAGAACUCGGGUGAAGGAACUAGGCAAAAUGGUGCCGUAACUUCGGGAGAAGGCACGCUGAUAUGUAGGUGAAGUCCCUCGCGGAUGGAGCUGAAAUCAGUCGAAGAUACCAGCUGGCUGCAACUGUUUAUUAAAAACACAGCACUGUGCAAACACGAAAGUGGACGUAUACGGUGUGACGCCUGCCCGGUGCCGGAAGGUUAAUUGAUGGGGUUAGCCGCAAGGCGAAGCUCUUGAUCGAAGCCCCGGUAAACGGCGGCCGUAACUAUAACGGUCCUAAGGUAGCGAAAUUCCUUGUCGGGUAAGUUCCGACCUGCACGAAUGGCGUAAUGAUGGCCAGGCUGUCUCCACCCGAGACUCAGUGAAAUUGAACUCGCUGUGAAGAUGCAGUGUACCCGCGGCAAGACGGAAAGACCCCGUGAACCUUUACUAUAGCUUGACACUGAACAUUGAGCCUUGAUGUGUAGGAUAGGUGGGAGGCUUUGAAGUGUGGACGCCAGUCUGCAUGGAGCCGACCUUGAAAUACCACCCUUUAAUGUUUGAUGUUCUAACGUUGACCCGUAAUCCGGGUUGCGGACAGUGUCUGGUGGGUAGUUUGACUGGGGCGGUCUCCUCCUAAAGAGUAACGGAGGAGCACGAAGGUUGGCUAAUCCUGGUCGGACAUCAGGAGGUUAGUGCAAUGGCAUAAGCCAGCUUGACUGCGAGCGUGACGGCGCGAGCAGGUGCGAAAGCAGGUCAUAGUGAUCCGGUGGUUCUGAAUGGAAGGGCCAUCGCUCAACGGAUAAAAGGUACUCCGGGGAUAACAGGCUGAUACCGCCCAAGAGUUCAUAUCGACGGCGGUGUUUGGCACCUCGAUGUCGGCUCAUCACAUCCUGGGGCUGAAGUAGGUCCCAAGGGUAUGGCUGUUCGCCAUUUAAAGUGGUACGCGAGCUGGGUUUAGAACGUCGUGAGACAGUUCGGUCCCUAUCUGCCGUGGGCGCUGGAGAACUGAGGGGGGCUGCUCCUAGUACGAGAGGACCGGAGUGGACGCAUCACUGGUGUUCGGGUUGUCAUGCCAAUGGCACUGCCCGGUAGCUAAAUGCGGAAGAGAUAAGUGCUGAAAGCAUCUAAGCACGAAACUUGCCCCGAGAUGAGUUCUCCCUGACCGCAUCACUGGUGUUCGGGUUGUCAUGCCAAUGGCACUGCCCGGUAGCUAAAUGCGGAAGAGAUAAGUGCUGAAAGCAUCUAAGCACGAAACUUGCCCCGAGAUGAGUUCUCCCU